rnacentral:rRNA from 1 species
AACGUAGGAGACAAACGUUAUCCGGAGUUACUGGGCGUAAAGGGCGUGUAGGCGGUUAGUUAAGUCUGGCGUGAAAGCUCUCGGCUAAACCGGGAGAGGUCGUCGGAUACUGGCAAACUAGAGGACGGUAGAGGCGUGUGGAAUUCCGGGUGUAGUGGUGAAAUGCGUAGAGAUCCGGAGGAACACCAGUGGCGAAGGCGACACGCUGGGCCGUACCUGACGCUAAAGCGCGACAGCAUGGGGAGCGAACGGG